rnacentral:rRNA from 1 species
AUGAAUCCGCAGGCACAAUCGCCACGGCGGAUUUCAUCUGCCCUGGCGAUCUCAGCGACGGCCACGACGGGAUGCAUCUCCGAACUCCCCAUCAGCUCCGUGGAAAAAUUCUCAUCGCGUGAUAAGCUGCAACAGAUCGUCACGACGGCUUCUACUGUUAAGGAUGUUGAACAUGCAUCAGCGGUGAUCCAUAAUUUAAGUGUUGACCAUCGGUGUGCCUCUGCAUCUAGCCAUGGUGUGGCCCAUCUCACUUGCCUUGCUACGUCUGUUGAAAAUACUAGUGCUGCAGAAUAUGAACCGAACUUCAGUAUGGUGGAUGGAGGUUCAGCUACAGAAUCCGGUAAAAGCUUGCAAACUCAAAUGAAUGAGCGAGAAUUUGCUACGCCAAGAAAGAAAGAAAGCAUUCCCCUA